CUAGUAUGUCAACUUAUUACAUUACUACAUAAUUUGCAAAUAGAUAAAUGAGAGGAUCAGUAGGAUGGAUUAUUGGAAAAUCUGCCAUUGUAGGCACUGUAAUACUGAGACAUAAAGACCAUUUCGAAUUCCAGAUCUUCAAGAGAUUCUGGGUUAACAAUGAAAAUGUGCUACAAUUGACCCCUGCUUCUCAGGAUAGUACUUGCGGCUCCAGGCUGG